CACGUAGGGGGCGAGCGUUGUCCGGAUUUAUUGGGCGUAAAGAGCUCGUAGGCGGCUCAGUAAGUCAGGUGUGAAAACUCCAGGCUCAACCUGGAGACGCCACCUGAUACUGCUGUGGCUAGAGUCCGGUAGGGGAGCAUGGAAUUCCUGGUGUAGCGGUGAAAUGCGUAGAGAUCGGGAGGAACACCGGUGGCGAAGGCGGGUCUCUGGGCAUCUCCUGACGCUGAGGCGCGAAAGCGUGGGGAGCAAACGGG
rnacentral:rRNA from 1 species